GAGCCACCCAGGCGCCCUAAAGGAAGUUUCCAAAGGAAUUUUUAUAUGUUAAGGCUGGGGGCCCUCAGUUUGUGCAGGUGUCAUCUGGCUCUCUCCAAACCCGCCACGGACAGUGACAUCUGGCGGCUGCUUUUGCCGUGGGAAGUGAACCGACUUUUGUCUCUGACCCAGGCGUCUGUGUCUUCUGAAACUGGCAGCGCAUCUGCCAGCUUGGAAGCCCACGUGAUUUCCCGGCUCUGCAGGCUGCUGGGAUGGGUUCCUGCCCUGAGAACCUGCCCAGACACAGGAAACCUUGUUCUGCGGGCUUCCAGCUGCAAGUCUGCAGUGGGACUUGGCUACUGGCUCCCAGCCUGAGGCUUUGCUUCAACCGCCACAACAGUUGUUUGAGUGUUUGUGUUUAAAUCUUUCUCACUGUCUCUGUAGCUCCGCCCAUCUGAGGCCUGGGGAGGGGAGAGGAGGGGAGAGGAGA